rnacentral:tRNA from 1 species
GAGGAUGUAGCUCAGUGGUAGAGAGCACUUGCCUAGCAUGUGUAAGGCCCUGGGUUCUAGCCCAGCACUUCA